AAUAAUUUCAAUAUUGAAUUUAUAUUCUUUACUUUUUAGGAAAUUCAACAUUGGAAUCGGUGGACUAUGCGACUAUAUAUGAUGAUGAUGAGAUUGACUCGGAUGAGUCGUGUGCCACUUUUGUGGAUUCAAGUUAAAGGAGAUGAUGAAAUUUUUGGUGUGGUUGUAUCAGAGUAUUAGAGAAACAAUGUUGUUGUUGUUUUUGUUGUUGUUGUUGUUUUUUUUUUUUUACACAAUGGAUUUGGUUUUUUAUAUUGUAAUGGAUUUGUUUUUUUAUUUUUUUUAAUUUUAUUUUUUGGGUAGCCUAUCCCUUGCAAGCUGUGCUUAGGACUAAUUAUUCUCUUUGCAACUUGCUCAAUUUUCCUUUGUGUGGGUUGUUGGAUGGAAUAUGCUAUUUGAAUAUGUUGAAAAUAUGUUAACAGAUAUGCGAUUGACAAA